UACGAAGGGUGCAAGCGUUAUCCGGAUUCAUUGGGUUUAAAGGGUGCGUAGGUGGGCUAGUAAGUCAGUGGUGAAAUCUCCGGGCUUAACCCGGAAACUGCCAUUGAUACUAUUAGUCUUGAAUACCGUGGAGGUUAGCGGAAUAUGUCAUGUAGCGGUGAAAUGCUUAGAUAUGACAUAGAACACCAAUUGCGAAGGCAGCUGGCUACACGAAUAUUGACACUGAUGCACGAAAGCGUGGGGAUCAAACAGG
rnacentral:rRNA from 1 species